UCCUUGCUGGUCCAGUGGCUAAGACUCUGAUCCCAAUACAGGAAGCCCAGGUUCAAUCCCUGGUCAAGGAA
rnacentral:tRNA from 1 species